rnacentral:sRNA from 1 species
CAGCACCCAAAGGAAGCCGAGCUGGAGCUAAAGAUCCCGGCUCCGGAGCCAUCUGACCGGUUUUGAGACCUCCAGCUCGUCGCCGUCCUGGCUGCGAGAGCUUGGGCACGGCGCCGGGGCUCAGUCUCCGCUUCUGUGAAAUGGCGAUAACUGUUACCUAACCAAACUCCUGCAAAACCACACCACCUAUGCCUGUGAUGGGGACUAUUUGAAUCUACAGUGCCCUCGGCAUUCUACGAUAAGUGUCCAAUCGGCAUUUUAUGGGCAAGAUUACCAAAUGUGUAGUUCCCAGAAGCCUGCCUCCCAGAGGGAAGACAGCUUAACCUGUGUGGCAGCCACCACCUUCCAGAUGAAUUAAAAAACAAAACUGUGUGUGAAGACCAGGAGCUAAAACUGCACUGCCAUGAAUCCAAGUUCCUCAACAUCUACUCUGCGACCUACGGCAGGAGGACCCAGGAAAGGGACAUCUGCUCCUCCGAGGCAGAGCGGCUCCCCCCUUUCGAUUGCUUGUCUUACUCAGCUUUGCAAGUCCUAUCCCGAAGGUGCUAUGGGAAGCAGAGAUGCAAAAUCAUCGUCAACAAUCACCAUUUUGGAAGCCCCUGUUUGCCAGGCGUGAAAAAAUACCUCACUGUGACCUACGCAUGUGUUCCCAAGAACAUACUCACAGCGAUUGAUCCAGCCAUUGCU